GACGAACGCUGGCGGCGUGCUUAACACAUGCAAGUCGAACGGAAAGGCCCUGCUUUUGUGGGGAGCGGGGGGGGCGAACGGGUGAGUAACACGUGAGUAACGUGCCCUUGACUUUGGGAUAACUUCAGGAAACUGGGGCUCAUAGCGGAUAGGAGCUCUCGCUGUAUGGUGGGGGUGGGAAAGUUUCGGCGGUUGGGGAUGGACUCGCGGCUUAUUGGGUUGUUGCUGGGGUAGUGGCUUACCAAGGCUUGGAAGGGUAGCAGUCCUGAGAGGGUGACCGGCCACACUAGGACGGAGAUGCGACACGGACUCCACCGGGAGGCAAGGGUGGAGUAUAUUGUACAAUGGGCGGGGGCCUGAUCCGGCAACGCCGCGUGCGGGAUGUCGUCCUUGGCUUUGUAUUCCACUUUCGUCUGUCACGAGGCGUGAAUGACGGUACUGGGUAAAGAAGCACCGGCUAACUACGUG
rnacentral:rRNA from 1 species